GUGCUCACUUCGGCAGCACAUACACGAAAACUGAAACAAUACAGAGAAAAUAGCACAGCUCCUGCGCAAAAAUAACACGCAAAUUCAUGGAGAGUUCCAUUAGUUUU
ensembl:snRNA U6 U6 spliceosomal RNA